rnacentral:ncRNA from 1 species
AACUCAGGAGAGACUCAGAUAUUUUUAUGAGCGCCGAAGGUGUACGCAGCAGUCCGCUGCAAUUCUCUCAGGCAAAAGGAUGGAGGAAGAA